CUUGCGCCCCUGGAACUGUCCGGGGAGGGGUCGCAGAGGGAGUGGCACGGCAAUUAGCCUGCUUGGCAAGCGGGCGAAGCGGAGGGAGACUUCCCCCCUCUUGCCGAAGGGGUGGGGCCUGGCACCCAGCCGCCACCUCUUUGGCUCCCUGGGCUGCCUUUCUCUCAACUUUGCUCCACUUCUGAAAAGUGAGGCCAAAACAAGCCUGUUUUCACGACUGGAGCAGCCACCGAUCUUAAAGGCUGUGCGCACAAUCCUGCUGAGCCAGGUGAAUGGAGGCAAACCUGCAUUUCCACAUCUUGUCACCAACUUGGUGCCUGUUGCCUUAGCUGGAGUGUGGUAUUUUGACUUGGUUGUGAAACUCCCUUUUGUUAAUUUACAGUUCUGUAUACUGUCUUCAAAAUCUAAGGGACUGGUUUGGACAAAAUUCAACACCACUUUUUCGUGCGGCUGCUGAUAAAAACAGGAUCGCCAACAUGAUCACCAACGUCCCAUAACGGAUAGGGCACAAGAAGUAGAAUCCUGUCUGAACCAGGAACCUGGGUUAAUUCAGUAAUCGGGUUAAGAAUGUCAUUUGUUCAAUAAAAUAUUUGGCACCAUUCUGGUGCCAUUGGAACCAUUUA